AGACUUUGAUCCUGGCUCAGGAUGAACGCUGGCGGCGUGCCUUAACACAUGCAAGUCGAACGAUGAUGCCAGCUUGCUGGUGGAUUAGUGGCGAACGGGUUAGUAACACGUGAGUAACCUGCCCUUGACUCUGGGAUAAGCCUGCGAAACUGGGUCUAAUACCGGAUAUGACCUUCCAUCGCAUGGUGGUUGGUGCGCAAAGCUUAGUGGCUUCUGGAUGGACUCGCGGCCUAUCAGCUUGUUGGUGGGGUACUGGCCUACCAAGGCGACCACGGGUAGCCGGCCUGAGAGGGUGACCGGACACACUGGGACUGAGACACGGCCCAGACUCCUACGGGAGGCAGCAGUGGGGAAUAUUGCACAAUGGGCGAAAGCCUGAGUGCAGCGACGCCGCGUGAGGGAUGACGGCCUACGGGUUGUACACCUCUUUCAGUAGGGACGAAGCGUAAGUGACGGUACCUGCAGAAGAAGCGCCGGCUAACUACGUGCCAG
rnacentral:rRNA from 1 species